rnacentral:lncRNA from 1 species
AAGAUGGCCGGUUAGCCGAAUGGCGGCGUUUCCUCACAGCGGACUCGGCUCGGCUGCCUGGAAUCGGUUGUUAUUCGCACCUAAAGCUGCAGAUUUGGUCCAAAAUCUGUGAUAUUUGACCACAAAUCCGCAGUUAUUUGACCAAAAUCACGCUAUUGACCCCCAAAUCCGUAUCAUUUGGCCCCAAAUCUGCUCUAUUUAGCCCCAAACUGUGUUAUUUGUCUCUAAAUUCGCACUAUUUAGCCCCAAAUCCGCUCUAUUUGUCCCCAAAUCCGUCAAAAUCUGUGAUAUUUGACCACAAAUCCGCAGCUUUUAGACCAAAAUCAGCAGAAUUUGGCCCCAAAUCCGUAUCAUUUGGCCCCAAAUCUGCUCUAUUUAGCCCCCAAAGCUGUGUUAUUUGUGCCUCUAAAAUCCGGCCACUAUUUA